rnacentral:lncRNA from 1 species
UGUCUGACAUAUUACACACAGUUGAAGUGACACAUCACUCUCUCGCCCAGAGCAUCAGUGGGGAAGGUGAUGGAAAACAGUAGAUGGAUCCAGUGAUUAUUUGUAAUUUCACAUUCUGACUCCAUCUGCGGCCUCAUUAAGGUGAUAGAAACAUACUAGGAAUAAGGCACCAAAAACAAAGGUACAAAGGCCCAGAAGCCAUCAGAAUGGAAACUUGUAACAGUGACAUAGAAUUCGUGAAGUAAAGAAAUGUAAGCUCCAAAGAAAUCAUAUGUAGUAAUCCACUUUUUAAAAUAUCUUUGAAAAGGUAGUAAAAAUCAAAGUUCAAUCUGGCAUAAUUAACUUGGUUCCUGAGUUUAAAGCCAAAUAAAACCCUGUAUCAAAAAAUGGUUUUAUUCAUGCUGUCUUACAUGAAUAUAGUAGAAAGCUGCUGGUUUUUAAAAGGUAUCAAAAUGGUAACUCUUAGAACAUAUAUAAAAAAAUUCACAGAUCCUUCAUCAGUCACAAUAUUUAAUAGUGGUCUCUAAACUAUUCGAUAAAAUAGCUAUUGUUUAGAAACAGAUAAAUAGCCAACUCUAGUGACCAAACCAGGAAAAGGAAAUCCUGAAGCAGGAUCCUAAAACCUGUCACUGUGCAUUUUCAUAUUCUCAGCAGUUGAUGUAUGGAAAUGGUAAAAGUGUGGUGUGGGUUGCUUUUGAAGCAGCUAGCACCCAGACUGCGUCAGUUCUGAUUGGCUGCAAAGUACAGAGUGUUAAUGGCAUAAAGCCAGCUUUUUAGUCACUUUCAGUCAUAGAAUUGUUUUGUUGUUGUUGUUGUUGUUUUUUGAGACAGAGUCUUGCUCUGUUAUCUAGGCUGGAGUGCAGUGGCACUAUCUCGGCUUAUUGCAACCUCCACCUUCCAGGUUCAAGAGAUUCUCCUGCCUCAGCCUCCCAAGUAGCUGGGAUUACAGGCGCCCACCGCCACACCCACCUAAUUUUUGUAUUCUUAGUAGAGACAGGGUCUCACCAUGUUGGCCAGGCUGGUCUCGAACUCCUGACCUCAGGUGAUCCACCCGCCUCAGCCUCCCAAAGUGCUGGGAUUACAGGCGUGAGCCACCACGCCCGGCCUUCAGUCAAAGAAUUGUGAUGAGGAUCGGAAUGCAUUGGGUAGCUCAGCAGUUAGAUUUGAUAGAUUCCAAGGCUGGUCUGGUGAGUUACCUGAUUUGGUCUAUAGCCCUUCUAGAACUGUCCAGUGGAAACCUAAGUUCCUGAGGCUCCCAGGGUUGGUCCGGGCUCCCUGAGAACAUUAGAACCAGGGAAGGUAUGGGCUGAGUCUGUGUGCCCAUUCAUCAGGCUUGCCCUCUGUUCCAGUUACCUGUUGCUGUGGAACAAAUAAGCCCCAAACUUAGGGACUUAAGAUAGCAAUGUGGUUUUCUGGAUUUAUGGGGCAGUUCUCACUUGGGAUGUAUCAUGCGGUAUCAGUCAUAUGUUAGUGGAGUCCAGAAUCACCUGAAGGCUUCUUCUCUCUCAUGUUUGGUGACUGGGCUUGGAUGGCUUGAAAGCUGGGGCUGGUCAGGAUAGGCAGACUUUUAAAUGGCGUC